GGUUUAAAAACCCGAUUUUGAG
rnacentral:misc_RNA from 1 species